AUAUGAUUUGCCUAAUGGUAAUUUGGUUUAUAAGUAUACAAAUUUUAUACUUGUUACAGGUUCAAAUCCUGUAUUACCU
rnacentral:tRNA from 1 species